GUGUCAGCCGCCGCGGUAAUACCAGCUCUCCGAGUGGUAGGGAUGAUUAUUGGGCUUAAAGCGUGCGUAGCCGGCUUGACAAGUCUUCUGUUAAAUCCAGCAACCCAAUUGUUGGACUGCGGGAGAUACUGUCUAGCUAGAGAACGGGAGAAGCCGACGGUACUCUCAGGGUAGGAGUGAAAUCCUAUAAUCCUGGGAGGACCACCAGUGGCGUAGGCUGUCGGCUAGAACGUGUCUGACGGUGAGGAACGAAAGCUUGGGGAGCGAACCGGAUUAGAUACCCGGGUAGUCCAAGCUGUAAACGAUGCGGGCUAGGUGUUGGGGUGGCUACGUGCCACUUCAGUGCCGCAGGGAAACCGUUAAGCCCGCCGCCUGGGGAGUACGGUCGCAAGACUAAAACUCAAAUGAAUUGGCGGGG
rnacentral:rRNA from 1 species